AAGAUUUUAAGUUAAAAAAACUAUUAACCUUCAAAGUUAAAAAUAAUUCAUUUUAAGUCUUA
rnacentral:tRNA from 1 species